UUUUUUUUUGUUUUUUAUGUUUUCUAUACUGGUUUUUCGUUUUUCUUUUCUUUUAAAUUUUUUCUUUCUUUUCUUAUUGUUUCUUUCAUUUUUCAUUUUUUUUUCUUUUUCUUUUUAUUUUCUAUUUUCUUCCCCUUCACUUUUUGACUAUUUUUUGCAAUUUUUAUUUUUGAAUUCGUUAACACCUUUUUUUCAUCGAAUUCUAAAAAUGUUCAACCACGUAAAAAAAUGUUCAACAAUCUAGAAAAUGUUCAUCGAAUUCAAUUUUUUUCAUCAAAUUUAAAAAAUGUUCAUAAAAGUUCAAAAUUUGUUCAUCGAACUAAAAAAAUGUUCAUCGGAUUCUUUUUUUGUUCAUUGUUUGCGAAAAAUGUUCAUCACAUUCAAAAUUUGUUCACUGAAUUACAAAUCUGUUCAUCAAAUUCAAAUUUUGUUCAUAAUUUUUUCAAAAACUGUUCUUCAAUACAAAUUUUGUUCAUCAAAUUAUUUUUUUUAUAAAAUGCCAAAUUUGUUUAUGGAUGUUCAAAAUAUGUUCAUCAAAUUCAAAAAAAUGUACAUUCCUUUGAAAUAACAAACAUUUUUUGAAUUCAAGAAUUUUUUGGAAUUUGGUGAACAUUUUUUAAUUCCGUCAGCAUUUAUCAUUUCGCGAACAUUUUUUUCAAAUCAUCAACAAUUUUCGAAUUCACCAACAUUUCACAAGUUGUAACUAUAUCGAAAUCCCGAAUUAGCCUUACAAUGGAAAACAAUUUAGAAAAGCAAAAAAAAAAAGAUGCUUCCGCUUUCCCUACCCACACAUGGGCCAGCCCAUGAGUCGGCGCGGGGGAGCGGGGGUUACGCGCUUCGUCGUUCGCUGGCGCGUACAACGCUAAAUGGGAGGUCUCGAUGUAGCAUCUCAUUGAAUCCCGGAUGCAUGGUCCGACCAUCUCUUCAAACCGAAAGCUGCUCAUAUGGUCCAUCAUCCUGGCGUCUGAAAUACUUUUGGAAAGACAAUUAUGGUUAGUUUUCGGAUAAGUACUCUCGAUAAUCUACAAAUAGGAGAUGUUUUAUUAUAUUUUGAUUACUUUUGGAUAGACAAUCAUUACUAUUAAUAUCAUCCUUCGUAUCUAGAUAAAGUAAGACAAUCUAUAAAUAGAAGAUUUUUUGUUCUGUUUUGAUUAAGUUUGGAUAGACAAUUAUUAUUAUUAGUAUUAGCCUUCGUAUCUAGAUAAAUAUAAGGCAAUCUAUAAAUAGAAGUUUUUUAUUCUGUUUUGACUACGUUUGGAUAAACAAUUAUUAUUAUUAGUAUCAUCCUUCGUAUCUAAAUAAAUAUAAGACAAUCUACAAACAGAAGAAUUUUCAUUCUGUAGACAAUUAUUAUUAUUAGUUCAGGAUAAAUACAUUUGAAAUGCCAUGUGAUAAAUGUGGUAAACGAUCGAUCCACACAUGAGGAAUAUAUCUGGACAUGUUUUAGUGUUAGAUACGUAAAUACCUUCGUAUUUAAUAAAUCUAAGCCAAUUUUUUGGGACGGAGGUAACAUAUAAAGAGGGGUCUCGCCCUCAUGGGCAGAGCAGCACGGAGAGCAAAGUUGGCUUCCCUAUGCAACAAUAACAAGGGUAGCUACCUCGCAAACCUGUGUGCACUCUGCAAGCAGUAGUCUCCACAAUGCUGGUUUGCUGUUGCUUUGUUGUGUCCCAGCUGCUCAUCGUAAUAACACUCAUAUACCUUGCCAUUACCAAGAGCAAGGUACGCUGUGGCACGUGCUCAUCGGCGACGGUGUCGCUUCCACUUCCGCCGGGGCCAUGGCCGUGGCCAGUGGUGGGUAGCCUGCCCGAGAUGGUGGUCAACAAGCCGGCGUUUCGAUGGAUCCAUCGCGUGAUGAAGGAUAUGGGCACCGACAUCGCCUGCUUCCGCCUCGGCGGCGUCCACGUCGUCCCGAUCACAUGUCCCAAGAUCGCAAGGGAGGUGCUCAAGAAGCAGGACAAAAACUUCUCGUCCCGCCCACUCACCUUCGCCUCCGGCGCCAUCAGCAGCGGGUACAAGGACGCCGUGCUCUCACCGUUCGGUGACCAGUGGAUGAAGAUGCGCAAGGUGCUCACCUCUGAGAUCAUCUGCCCCUCCCGUCACAAGUGGCUCCACGACAAGCGCGCCGACGAAGCUGACAACUUGACGCGCUACAUCUACAACCUCACCGCCCGGGGGUUGUCAUCUUCAACGUCGGGACUAGCCAACGUCAACGUCAGGCACGUCGCGCGGCAUUACUGCGGCAACGUCAUCCGCCGGCUUGUCUUCGGCCAACGGUACUUCGGGGAGCCUCAGCCGGACGGCGGGCCGGGGCCGAUGGAGGUGGAGCACAUGGACGCUUCCUUCGCCCUCCUAGGGUUCACCUUCGCGUUCUGCGUCAGCGACUACCUCCCGUGUCUACUUGGCCUAGAUCUCGACGGUCACGAGAAAAUUAUUAAGGAGACCAACACAAAAGUGGAUAGACUGCACGACGUGGUCAUCGAAGAGCGUUGGAGGUAGUGGAAUAGCGGCGAGAGGCAGGACGGGGUCCAGGACUUCCUUGACGUUCUCAUCACGCUCGCCGACGGUGACGGCAAGCCGUUGCUCAACAUCAAUGAGGUCAAAGCACAGUCCAAGGUAAGCAAAAUAUUAAUUAAUGAGAAAUUUUAAGAUGGCUCAAGGGCCUAGAUUGAAUUUAGUGACCAAUUGCCUCAUAGUCCUACAAAGUACUAAUACGUCAUCCAUGAGAAAAGGUAAUAGCUCACACUAUUAAAUACUAGAUCUUAUACCGUAUUUCGCAGGUGUUAGAAAAUGGAAACAAUAGAAUAUGAAAUUAUGAAUUAAUAGUUUAAACAUAGCAUUAUUGUAAUUUUCUACCAUUUUGAUGUGAUUUCAACUUAAAUUGUAUUUAAAUUUCCAAUUAUUCAAUGUAAUCUCUCUUUAUGCAAAGGUAUAAAUUGUAAUAACUUACAUUUAUCGCCAUGGAAUGCAUGCAGGGCAUAAUAUUAGCGUCCAUAGAUAACCCGUCAAACGCAGUGGAGUGGGCGCUGGCGGAGAUGGUGAACAACCCAGAAUUGCUGGCCAAGGCGGUGGAGGAGAUGGACCGGGUGGUCGGUCGCGAGCGACCGGUGCAAGAGUCGGACAUCAUGCAGCUCAACUAUCUCAAGGCGUGCAUACGUGAGGCAUUUCGCCUCCACCCAAUCGCUCCCUUCAACCUGCCGCACGUCGCGAUUGUCGACACCAUUGUUGCGGGCUACCGCGUGCCCAAGGGUAGCAACGUCAUCCUCAGCCGGCUGGCCCUGGGCCGGAACCCCACUGUCUGGGAUGAACCGCUCCGCUUCAAGCCGGAGCGCCAUAUGGGAGACAACAUCAAUGUGGUGCUUACUGAGAGCGAAUUGCGGUUCAUCUCCUUCAGCACCGGACGACGGGGAUGCAUCGCGACAUCACUAGGAACAACCAUGAGUGUCAUGCUCUUUGGCAGGCUCCUGCAUGGCUUCACCUGGACCAAACCGGCUGGGGUGUCGGCCAUCAAUCUCAGCGAGUCCAAGCACGACCUCUUCAUAGAGAAGCCGUUAGUGCUACAUGCUGAGCCACGUCUUCCAGUGCACCUCUACCCUCUCAUGCAUUAUUGAGCAAAUAACGAGCUACGAAUCACCGAUAUGGCGAGUAUGCUAGCUAUUUUUUUUGAUGAAUCUAUAUUUACUAAUAAAGGAAGGAAAUAUUCUUUUUUUCAUCCCGCUUUGUUUCGUUCCACUUUGAUUGAUUUUCACGUAUGCUAGCUAUUUUGGUUUUGUCUGUUUCACGUACGAGCGAGCCAGUUUCUUUCAUGCGCCGCUGGAUCGUCCUAGGCUUGUCCAAAGCAUUGGAACAGUACGUGAUAGGCAAACAACCACCCAUCUAGUAUUAAUUUUGGACAAAUAGAGAUUAAAUGUAUACAAGAUGAUGCUCUUUAUAUCACCAACGAAGGAUGAAAGUAGGUCGGCGCAUAUAGGGCAACUCCAUUUGAGUUGUUUCUUCCGGCCCAAGUCCCAGGCGGGGCAGCAUAGAAGAUGAGGUGAUAUCGAAAUAAAAAGUCCGGUUGAAAACAGACAGAUGGGCCGGCCUGUGAGUUUGGUCGAGUGUCACAAUGAGAGACGUAUUCAGAUGGGCAGCUAAACAGAAGCACGAGCCCACUUCAUCAUCAUAAAAUAAAGAAAACACGGCCGUCUUUCUUCGUCGCGAGCAGCCGCGACGUGAGAUGACCCGGGCGCCAUGGCCGACCCCUCGCUCCGUCCGGCAGGCCACGGAGCUCCACGCUGUCCUCACCGCCUCCGGCCGCCUCCUCAACCAGCCCUCCGCCGCGCACCUCCUCAACUCCCUCGCCAGCUGCAUUUCCCCCGGCGACCCGCUCCACCUCCGCUACGCGCUCAGCCUGUUCGACCGAAUGCCCUGCUCCACCUUCCUCUUCGACACCGCGCUCCGCGCUUGCUUCCGCGCCUCCUCGGGACCUGAGCACCCGUUCCUCCUCUACCGGCGUAUGCGCCGGGGGGGCGUGCCCCCCGACGCCUUCACGUUCCACUUCCUCUUCAAGUGCUGCUCCCGCGGCCGCGCGCACGUCCUCCUGUGCCGGAUGCUGCACGCCGCGUGCUUCCGUACCAUGCUUCCCUCUGCCGUGCCGCUCAUCGCGAGCCCUCUCAUCCAUAUGUACGCUGAGCUUGGGCUCCCCGGCGAUGCCCGGCGGGCUUUCGACGAGGCCUCUGUGAAGGACGCGGUUGCCUGGACGACGGUCAUCAGUGGGCUGGCCAAGACGGGGCUGCUCGAUGAUGCGCGGCGCCUUCUGGCGCAGGCUCCGGCGAGGAACGUGGUCGCUUGGACUGGUUUGAUCUCGGCAUACUCGCGUGCUGGCCGGGCCGCUGAUGCUGUGGAUUGCUUCAACCGCAUGCUUUCUGAUGGCAUUGCGCCGGAUGAGGUUACCGUGAUUGGCGUGCUCUCGGCAUGUGCUCAGCUGAAGGAUUUGGAUUUUGGAUGCUCGCUGCACAUGCUGGUUGGGGAGAGGAGGAUGUUGGUGAGUGACAGACUUGUAGUUGCGCUCAUCGACAUGUAUGCCAAGUGUGGUAACAUUGGCCGUGCAAGGGAGGUUUUUGAUGCUUUAGGUAGGGGCCGAGGACCCCAGCCAUGGAAUGCUAUGAUUGAUGGAUACUGCAAGGUAGGCCAUGUUGACAUUGCACGCUCUCUGUUUGACCAGAUGGAGGACCAUGACAUCAUCACAUUUAACUCGUUGAUCACUGGGUACAUCCAUGGUGGCCGGCUUAGAGAAGCGCUACUUCUUUUCACAAAGAUGAGGAGACAUGGUUUGCGUGCUGAUAAUUUUACCAUGGUGGGCCUUCUAACUGCUUCAGCAAGUUUAGGUGCAUUGCCACAGGGCAGGGCCUUGCACGCUUGCAUUGAGCAGAGGCUGGUGGAAAGAGAUGUUUACCUCGGUACUGCACUCUUGGACAUGUACAUGAAGUGUGGGAGGGUGGAAGAGGCGACUGUUGCUUUCAAACAGAUGAGUGUGAGAGAUGUUCACACUUGGAGCGCCAUGAUUGGAGGUCUCGCAUUCAAUGGGAUGGGUAUGGCUGCUCUGGAGCACUUCUUCUGGAUGAAGUGUGAUGGCUUUCAUGCCAAUUCAGUUACAUACAUUGCUGUUCUGACUGCAUGUAGUCAUUCAUGCCUACUGGAUGAAGGGCGUCUGUACUUCGACGAGAUGAGAUUGGUGCACAAUAUACGCCCCCAAAUUGAGCACUAUGGCUGCAUGAUAGAUUUGCUGGGCCGCAGUGGACUUCUGGAUGAAGCUAUGGAUAUUGUGCGGACCAUGCCAAUGCAGCCAAAUGCUGUGAUAUGGGGCUCCAUCUUGAGUGCUUGUAGAGUCCACAAGAAUGUUGACCUAGCUCGAAAUGCUGCAAAUCAUCUUCUGAAGCUAGAGCCAGCUGAGGAUGCUGUGUAUGUCCAGAUGUAUAACAUUUACAUUGAUUCUAGGCAAUGGGAAGAUGCAUCAAAAAUAAGGAGAUUGAUGGAAGAAAGGGGUGUGAAGAAGACUGCAGGUUACAGCUCGAUUGCUGUGGCUGGGCGGGUGCAUAAGUUUAUAGUUGGUGACCGAUCGCAUCCACGCAUAAUGGAGAUUAUUGUAAUGAUGGAGGAGAUUAGAUGCAGGUUAAAGUCAGUAGGAUAUUCACCUAUCACGUCGCAGAUAACAGUGGAUGUCGAUGAGGAAGAGAAAGAACAGGCACUUUUAGCACACAGUGAGAAAUUGGCCAUUGCAUUUGGCCUCAUCAGUCUAGCACCAAACCUGCCGGUUCAUAUCAUAAAGAAUCUCCGGGUCUGCGAGGACUGCCACUCUGCAAUCAAGUUGAUCUCAAGGCUUUGGAACCGGGAAAUCAUUGUUAGAGACCGGAGUCGGUUCCAUCACUUCAGGGGUGGAGCAUGUUCUUGCAAUGAUUUUUGGUGAUUAACGUUUUGUAAGGCGCUGGUCCUGGUGUAAAGCUUGAAGGAUGAGGAAACACUAAACAUAAUACUAUUCCAUCUUCAGAGUAGCUUUCAGGUCGUGAUUCCCAGUUGCCAAAGGUAUCCUCUGUUCUCUUCGAUGUGCCAUUUAAGUUAGAGUGAUUACACAUAUUCAUCUUCUGAGAGCACUGGCUACUUUAUCAGGAAAAGGUCAGUUGUGUCACACUGAUGAAUACCUACCAGUUGGCUCACUGGAAAUGAGCUCCUCUUCACAUGGUAACAUUCAUCACACACAUAGUCCAGGUGGAGAUCGAACUGAUGGAAGUGAAUGUUAUCCAUGUUCUUCUCGUGUAAUCUGUAUGGCUGCCCUUGUUUCCUGAUCUGCAGUUCUGUCACUUGUUGCCAUGUUAAUGAAAAGGCCAGCCCGGUGACUCCAAGGGUAAGUAAGCCGAAGUCAAUAGUCUAGGUGGGACAUAUAGACUACUGAACAGGCCUGCCCAGUAACUCUGGUGGUUUCUUUUCUGUGGCAUUUCAGGGUAAAAAAUGUAGACAAAGGAGGUGGCACAUCCACGGCACCCUGCAGCCAUGAUUCCAUGCUCGACGCUCGGUGAGGCAAAGUGGAAUUCCUAUGGCUUCCUUUCCCCAAGGUCUGGAAUUCACUUUUAUGGAGCUACGAAGCACAUGAUGAAAAUGUGCUGGGAAAGAGAGCUGCAAACAUGCUGAUAGAUGCUGGGAGAAGUCAAAAGGAGUGGUACCCAGGAGGAACUAGUCAUCAUCAAUAUUAUUAAGGUAGAGCUGUGGAUCGAACCAAGGCUGGCUAACCCAUCGACCAUGGUGCAAACCAGCAAGCCCCUGGGUGACUUCUCUAGAUGUUGGGGAAACAUCCAGACACCAUUUUGCAGGUAUCAAACUUCUUUUAAGAUGUUGUGGACAAGAAAAAUAAGUGCUGCAAGGAUGAAAGAGAUGCCAUGUGGGCAAAGAAGCCAAUAAGUGAAGGUCAGUGCCCAUAGCUUAACCAAGAUGAGACCUGUAGUUUAGUGCAUGAGAUCAAAACCAUAUCGGCGCCAUAGCCGGUUACUCUCUCGAGAUGCCAUUUCUCCCAACAGCAUAUCGUGAAUCUUCUUGUCAUCCUACCGAGCUGGCAAGAAUCUGAUCCUCGCACAAACCGCAUUAUUUUUCUUGCUGACCUCUCUUUAAUUAUUUAUAUGUCGGGACAUGCUCAAUGCUAGUUGUAUUCUGGAUUAGUUUGGGCCUCGAAUCUGAGCGGCCUGAUCUGAACACGUCACCUGCCAGUCAGACCAUUGAUUGUUCUGAACCUUGAUCAUUUCUUCCAUGUUUGACUCAGGGAUGAGAACUUCACUUGCCUUUAUACUUUUAGCCGUCUGUCCCGAUCUGGCUUCGCUGAAGUGUGGAGUUUCAACUUUCAACCCUUUAAUCUGGUUUCUGUGUUACUGAUUCAGGUGCCUGCCUGCCUGACCAUUGCAGGAAACUAUCGUCUGCUUCAGAUUGGGGUGCUUUGAGUUGAGCUGUUGAGGCACAAGUUGAAUGGGCUUGGUAGCGCAGGGAAGGGAAUCGGAUGGAGCAUUUCAGUGUGGUGGGGUACAGGGGCCGGUGCAGGAGGAUGGAUACAUCGCAGCAUCGCUGGCAAGUCCACUGCAGAAACUGGUGUGUCUGAAACAUAUAUAAUGCGCCUUUUGUGUACAUAUAUUUUAUUUAGGGAAAGCCUAUAUUUUGUUCUUCACCAACAAUCUGGUUUCUGUUUUACGGUGGUUGGAUCGGGCUGAUGAUCACGGGCCGAAUAUAGUGUGCAUUUGCUUGAUUGAACACUACACCGAUUAUUAUUAUUUUGACACUGAAACACAGAGGUGUAUGUGUUCUACUGCCUAUUUGCUGAAAGUACUUGCAUAUAACUAACCCUAGCAACAGUAACAUGCUUGGUCAAUCCAAACCCUUUCGAUAGUGUUUUCCCACUAUUAUUUAUUUACAGCGAUCUAUGAGAAUCUCCAGCCCACCAAAACUUUCUUUUUCCGGAGUAUGUUUGAGGGCACUGUAUUUGAUAGCAGAUUCCGUGCGAAAAGCCUCAUCACUAGCAGCAGAUUAGGAAUCCGGGCCCUCCUCCGGCCCGCUUUCUCCCCAUCCAGACCACACCACACCACACCACUUGCUCCGUCGCUCCUCCCCUUUCUUCUUCCCCACCCCCUUUCCGGCCCCCUUUUCCCAGCUCCUCGCAUAGCCAACAAGACCGGAUCGAUCAGCCCGAGCCCCCUGCGACUCCGCCGCCGUGCCGUCUCACCGCCGACGCCUCAGUCCCGCCCCCGCCCCCGCCUCAACGCCCGUCGCCGGUCCCGCUCUUCCUCGCCGGCGGCACGCCGCGCUCCUGCUGUCUACCCCCCACCCCGUCCCAGCCUCUAUCCCGCCGUUGGGUUUGAGGUAUGAGCUCGUGUCCAUCCCACGCUGGCCUUCGUGAUUUCUGGGUGCGUCGUCUAGAUCCGCCCCGGGUCUCACCCCCAAGCUUGGUUGCUUGUUCGGUUGUUCCUACCAGGGAGAGCGGAAGGGGCCGAGGAAGGGAUUAGGGCUGGAGCAGGGAGCGCGCAGGCGGCGACAUGUCGGGGGAGGACGUCCGCAAGGUCUCUCGCCAGGACAUACAGCUCGUCAGUAUCAUCAUUUCACAACUGACUAACACUACCUCUGCUCUGCUGCAUUCUCGUUCAUUUUUCUGCUGAUUCCUUUCCGUUCAAGCUAGCUGCGGCCUAGGUCAAUAUAUCAUGCGCGACAUGUGCUAUUGCUUGUUGAUGCUGAAACGCAAAGUAGCAGGCAACUGAUAUUUGUUUUUUUUUUGCUUGUGGGUUGGGGAGCUGACUUUUCAUGGCUCUUGUUUCGGCAUAUGUGAUAGUUAAAAUUAGUAAGUGGUUGCUUGCAUGUAUCGAUGACUCAUGUUGCUAGUAACUGCUGGUGCAGGUCCAGAAUCUCAUCGAGCGCUGUCUCCAGCUGUAUAUGAACCAGAAAGAAGUGAUUGAUACCCUCUCCCUUGAGGCCAAGAUAGAACCGAGCUUUACUGAACUUGGUAAUGGUCUUUACUUUAUACGCUCAGAAAUAUCUUUAGCCUAGUAGCUAUGAGCUCCCAGGAUUGGUAAACAACAUCAUAGUUCAUAUAUGUAAUUGGACGGAUGGCUGAAACCGUGGGCAGUUUCUGGUUUGCACAGAAUAAAUCAAUGCUUUUGGUACAAACCAUGUCUCCAGUGUUGCGUCAAGAAUUGUUAUAUGAUGGCUAGAUAAAUCUUCUGUUUUUAAAAUAAACCUGGCAGAAAAUGUUCAGUUCCCCUCCUUUUGACCUCUCAGAAUUCAUUAGCAUAAUUCUGUAACAUAAUGGAAACAUCUUGCAAACCACAAUAUGUUCUCUUCAUUUGUGCCUCCUUAUGUAUUUAUGCCAACAGAAAUAUUUCCUAGUUCCCAUUUGUGCCUUGAAAUUGUGCAACUUGACGACACAACAUAAGCACUAGCAGAAUGCUUGUGUAGAUGUAGAAGAUUCAGUUGAUAGGCUCAUAAUGUGGACUUUGUUGGCAAAUAACACAAACAAGACAUCAUGUAUUCAUGUUCAACAUCCCAAUUGUUUGAAGAUUGAUUUGCAUGAGCUGCUUUGUGCUGAAGGUUUACCAGUGGACUGUAGCUCCAUUAGCAUGAUAACAGACCUACUAAGUAGCGUACAUGUGAAAAUGUUUGAACAUGUUAAGUGGAACUGGCAUGGAUAAAAUUCCCCGAACUUCAUGAGCAUUCUCUUUCAUCCCUCCAAAAUAUUAAAUCUCAUUCUAUCUCGUAAGUCCUCAAACUUAUGGCAUCAGUUCACCUGGGUCCCUGUACUCUCGAAGUGCACUUCAAUGCCCCUAAUGUGGAAUAAUUUGCUAAUUAGCCAUCCCAAUCCCACUUCUGUGUCUUCUUUUGUCAAUGUGACUCACCUGGUGAAAGAUAUAGCGCCCAUGUUUUUUGCAAAGUUGCUGAAAACCCUUCUGGCCUACAUAAAGGUCAUCAAAGCCUUCUCUUUGACCCCGUUCUGUGUUGGAGCUUUAGUUUGACUUAGGUGAGUGAAUCAAAGACUGUUUCCUUAACCACCAAUAGGCAGCACACCUGGUUUAUUAGGACCACUCAUUUAAAAUGUUCAGGAAAUCGCUAACUGGUAACUGCUCGGCCGGCUGGCAUGUAGGGGUUUAAUAGGUGAAUCAGCCAGUUAUGCUGAUAAAUCAGUAAAUCGGCUACUUGGUGGCCCACUGAACAGGGAUUAAUUGGCCAGUUAACUGAUCUGUCAGCGAAUAUUUUGUACACCGCUCAUUUUCAUUACAAUUGCUAGUGAAGUUUGAGUGGAAAUACAACAUUCAGUUUUAGUAAAGAUAGAUCAUUAAGUAAUUGGUAACAUAUAGCCUGUUUGUGGAACACAAGUCACAAAAUAUGAAUCAUAGCAUCAACUUUGUAAGUUCUAACAAGCUGCCCGUGACUUUCUGAACUGGCAAUAGGAUUUUGUUACUGAAAAUGCAUGUGUAACUACCAAGCAGUGGGACACAAAGCUCCAUAUCAAUCUAAUACUUAAAAAUAUUUGCCAAGCCAAUUAUGGGCAUAGUUUUUAUGCCGUAGUGAAUCUUGUGGUGACCGACUUUGCUCAUAACUCUUAACACUUAUGGCAUAUGACGAGGCGACAUCAUAGACAUGUCCUGACUUUGUGUGGUAGCAAAUUAGAUCACUACAUAGAAAAACCUAACUUUAUAUGACAAGUUGAUAACAAGUUAAUUCACUAAUUGAGUUGUACAUGACUAUACCUUGUUGUUGGCCAUGUAGCACACACUGUCUUCUUUCCACUUGCACCACUAAAGUAUAUGCUAAAUGUGUUCAGUUCACAACUCUACAUGGCAAUUAGCAAUGAGCAAGAUUAAAUAAGCAGAGAAGAUGCACUGCACUAGCCACUGCCCACAGAUAUACUAGCAGUACAUGUGGAUUGCAAUGAGCAAGAUUAAAUAAUCAAAGGCAGUAAGAUUAAAGUAUGCACUGUAUUUCUACAUAUAUAUUAGUCACAACAUGUACAGAACAGAAGAGCUUUGCAGAAAAAGAAACAGAGCAUAUCCCAGCAGAGGAGGAGGGCAUCACAGCAUAGGGGAAGAAGAGAGACGGGGAGGAAGAGGCAGGAAGAAGACAGGGGAGGAGGAGGAGGGAGGGCUAGCUUACCUCGCCGGAGUUGGCGCUGAAGCUGGCUGGAGAGGUGUGCUGCACCUGCAUCGAUCUGUGGAUCAGUGGAUGGGGAUGGAAGGAGGUGGCGCUGAUGCUCGCCUCCGUCCUGGAGCUGGGCGGAGAAGUGACAGACGGGAAGACACGCCUCCGACCUGGAACUGGGCGGAACUGGAUGGGGGAUGGUGGAAAUAGAUGUGCGGGCCGCCACAGCAAGGUCAGAGAGAAGCCCAAUGGCCGAUUCUCUCUCUCUCUCUCUCUCUCUCUCUCUCUCUCUGGCCAGAGAGAAGGAUGAUUCCCUGCCAUCCUGGCUAUUUCUCGUACCUGGCUGCUAUUUCCCUCCCACCCCUGCUUCCACUUUCCAUGCACUCUGCUCGUGUCGUCGGAAAUCGCAUAAGACGACUCCAACCUCGCCACUUUGAUUGCAAAUAGACACCAUGCCUCUGUGGCGGACGCCACAGGCAUGUUUUGUUGCGAGGGUCACCGUCUUGGCCUUGACAGGCACCACACCGGUAUUAUCCUUGUUAUGGUGACGAGAUGGGAUGCCAUAAUACUAUGAUUAUGGGUGGUAUGUAACUGUAUAUCGCAGUUCUGCUGUAUAAAACAAAACGAACUUCUGUAGUUUUGAAUGUGUUGGUGCAACCUUCGAUUGCACAUGUUUGGCAUGAAAUCGCCUCAUUGGUCCGUUAAGGACAUGAUUUAUGGCACACCAGGGACCUAAUAUGCACUUUGGGGGUACACGAACCUAGACGAACCACCCCACAACUUCAAGGAUCCCCUCGUAUAUUGCACCCUUCGUAGAAAUGUGUGUUUCUUCUGUUGUUAUUCUCCUUAAUGUUUUGUUCUUACUCUGUUCUUUCCAGUUUGGCAAAAACUUGAGGAAGAGAACCGUGAAUUUUUUAAGGCAUACUAUUUGAGGCUGAUGCUUAAGAAUCAAAUAACGGCCUUCAACAAGCUUCUUGAGGAUCAGUUCCAGCUUAUGAACAAAGACUAUUCUUCAGGGAUCCCUUCUAUGCCUCUUACUAAUGGCUCCAACUCCACAACAUGUAAGACAUUUUUUUCCUCCCAGCUUUAGAGCUUUCUGUGGUGUCUCUUUGUCUUUAUCUGGUGUGAUAAUGUAAUUCUCUCUCACCAUUUAAGUAAUGUAGAAACAAGUGGAAAGUAGUCUCUAACUUACUCAAGAAGUUUAUGUUUACUUUGUCAAAGUGGUAUUGCUGCUCAAGAGGGCUAUGUUUGUUGCCUCUGCUUUCCAUGUUGUAUUGACUUGCUGAUCAAUAACAUUUUAACAUGGUCUGCUAUUUUCCUUGUUUCAGUGAAGCAAAACUUGUGCUUUUUACCAGAGUCUGGUCCCAUAUCUGCAAUGCCAAAUGGUGUGAUGCGCAAUGGAAGUUCAGGUGGUUUAGUAAAUGGAACAUCAUCUGGUGAUCAUUCAAUUUAUGGUGGUAAAGACAUUCAUGGUCCUCAUAGUAGCAUGGAUGCUUCAACCAACGUGCUACCAGCCCAAAAUGCAUCUGCUCUGCUGUAUGGUGCAGAUAAUAAUGGUACAACAAUAAAGACAGAGUCAAGCUAUUCGAGCAACGCUGAUUUUGCUUUCUGUGGGAACGCUUUCCUUGAAUCAUGCCAAUCAAUUGGCGAUGCCUCGGGUGGUUCCUUUAGCAGCUCAGAUUUGAACGGGCAACCACUGAAUGAUGCACUUUUGGAUAUGGAGUCAUCGUCAUUUGGCUUCUUGAGCCAGAUUCCCCGGAAUUUCAGUUUUUCAGACUUAACAGAGGGGUUCAAUCAAAAUACAGGUACAUUAAUAGGAGAGAGUUUUCCAUUGCUUUGUUUUUUUAGUACCUUUUCACCUAAAGUCUAUUGGCUGUAUACAUUAUUUGUUUACCAUUUUGUUGUCUGCAGAAGUAUUAGAGAAUUAUGGCAGGUCGCCAUUUCUCUCAUCUGAGCCAAAUAACUUCUCAGAUUCUACAGGUGGAGAACAUACAGGUAAUCCAUUUUCGUCCAGUCUUCUUUUCCAGAGCCAGCCAUGAGUUAUAUUAGCGCAUGCCACCACCUCCACUGUAAUUACUUCUUUUUUUUUUCGAAAAUUGAGAGGCCCCGGGUCCUCUUGCAUUAGUUUGGUGCCUGCGACUGUCUGUGCAUGCUUGAUGUGUAUUUUUCAGUUAUUAUACAUGCUGUGGGUGCAUGUUAGCAGUGUGCUAUUACAGCUAUUAGACACUUCUUAUGAGAGAACUAAUUUAAUCAACUGAAGUUCUUCUCCCUUGUAUUUUCUUAUGCUGUGUCUGCAGGCUGAGCAGCUACCCACCUUUUUGUACAUAUUCAUGGAGAACUUGAGCAACUUUCAUGCUAGCCUUUUCCCUUAUCAGUUCCGAUGUCUUGUAAUGUAGAGUAUGGGAUGAGUUGUAACUUGAUCAAAAGAUGCAGCAGAUCUGGCCCCCGGUCGCUUGCCGAAGGUAUUGUAGUUGUGCCCUGCCUUGUACAUUGGUGUUGUGCUGUAAGAUCAGCAUUAGUAGCUGUGAUGUUAAAUUUGCUGGGUUAAUGGGUUAUGUUCUUGUCUGGCAUGUACAACAGAAGUUUAUUAAUUUCAAGUGAAUGCUGACGAGAGAGUUUGAUUUGUGAUGGCUAUGGUCAGGAACUUAGCAUGAACAUACAUCAGUUUCAUAUAUGCGCCACAUCGGAAUCUCGGUGCGAAAACACGCAUGAAUAUGUUGCAAACAGGCACUAGAGAGACAUAGAGAAACUUUUUAUUUUUGCUUAAUAUCCUAAUACACUGCAAACAAUUUCUUGACACGAACAGUGUCUUACAUCUCAACAAGGGGAAGAAAAACAGCGGGAAUUGUGAUUCUAACAGAUUGUUCUUCCGUCGAAGCCGUGGUUAUGAUAGAAUCGAUACAUGUAUCAGUGGCAUGGAGAACAACAUCAAGCCAGCGCUUGAAGGAAAACAUCAUCUCCAGGUAGGUAGGUAGGUAUGUACUCGUCAGACAGCAAUUCAGUUGUCUCGGAAAAUUCAG
rnacentral:lncRNA from 1 species